rnacentral:rRNA from 1 species
UACGUAGGUGCGAGCGUUGUCCGGAAUUAUUGGGCGUAAAGAGCUUGUAGGCGGUUUGUCGCGUCUGCUGUGAAAAUCCGGGGCUCAACCCCGGACUUGCAGUGGGUACGGGCAGACUAGAGUGUGGUAGGGGAGACUGGAAUUCCUGGUGUAGCGGUGAAAUGCGCAGAUAUCAGGAGGAACACCAAUGGCGAAGGCAGGUCUCUGGGCAGUUACUGACGCUGAGGAGCGAAAGCAUGGGUAGCGAACAGGAUUAGAUA